rnacentral:rRNA from 1 species
GACGAACGCUGGCGGCGUGCCUAAUACAUGCAAGUAGAACGCUGAAGAGAGGAGCUUGCUCUUCUUGGAUGAGUUGCGAACGGGUGAGUAACGCGUAGGUAACCUGCCUUGUAGCGGGGGAUAACUAUUGGAAACGAUAGCUAAUACCGCAUAACAAUGGAUGACACAUGUCAUUUAUUUGAAAGGGGCAAUUGCUCCACUACAAGAUGGACCUGCGUUGUAUUAGCUAGUAGGUGAGGUAACGGCUCACCUAGGCGACGAUACAUAGCCGACCUGAGAGGGUGAUCGGCCACACUGGGACUGAGACACGGCCCAGACUCCUACGGGAGGCAGCAGUAGGGAAUCUUCGGCAAUGGGGGCAACCCUGACCGAGCAACGCCGCGUGAGUGAAGAAGGUUUUCGGAUCGUAAAGCUCUGUUGUAAGUCAAGAACGAGUGUGAGAGUGGAAAGUUCACACUGUGACGGUAGCCUACCAGAAAGGGACGGCUAACUACGUG